CCGUCGUCGCCAUGGACGGGCUGUGGUGAGCUCGACGCUGACAGCUGUUCAUCGCCCUUCGUCUUCUUCGUCAGCGCCAUAAGCACGCGGAGGCCAUGGGAGAUCCAUUCCCGCAGCAACCGGACACCGAGGCCGGUGCACGACGCCCCGACGACGAGCAUCUUCUUCACCUCCGGCGAUCUCUUCUGCGGAGUACCUCGACGUCGCGCAUUCCUUUCCUGCGCCGACUCUCCUCUCCGCCCCGUGGUGAGCAGUCGAAGCCUCGUCCCCUCUCCUCUGUCCGAAGUAUCGCGUAGCUGCGUCGCCAGCGUGUCGCCUUGCCGCGCGGCUCUGUAGAGCAGGGCAGCGGAGGUAGCUAGUAGCGGCAAGUAGCAGUAGAAGCCGCAUCAUGCACCCAGCAGUAGCAGCACCACAGCAUCCACAACAUGCAGUUGCAGUAGCACCGAGCGAGCAGUGCAUUCGCGCGCGUAUAGAGCAGCUCGUACGUCGCGUGCGUCGCCGGAGUCGCUCAUCCGUGCGUGUCUCUGUUGCCAUGGAGCUAGCCCCCUGUCUUGCGUUCAACUAGCGUAGAUCCCCCAGUUCGAGCAAACGCCCCACGGUAGCCCAGUGGCAAUAGAGCGUGCGUUGCACCGCAGCGUCCUGAGUUCGAUCCCCAGCGUGCCCCUUUUUCUUUUCAGGGGUUUUUUCCAUCGGCGCUCUUCGAGUAAUUAACUUAGGGAAGUUUCCUCCCGUAGUAGAGCAGUGUUACGAUCCCUAGCAAGCUGGUUCGACCGAGCCAUGGCGACCGUGAGGUCCUGGGUUCGAGUCCCCAUGUCGCCUUUUUUUACUGUUUUAUAUUUCCUGUUGUGAUUAGGGAGUUAGUCAUUGUAUGUCUGCAUACCUUCCCAUACUAGUUCAGCUGCAUGUGGCUAGCCCACUGGUGAUGGUCGUGCACUCCACCAGGGAGAUGGUGGGUUCGACUCCCACCUCUCUCAUAUUUUCCUUUUAUGUGUUGUGACUUGUGUGUGCCACUGACAGGUGGUCCCGGGGCCCUGGUGACUAUGACCAGUAGGCCCCCUGUCAGUUUACAUUUUAGUGGUGAUAUAUUUGUGACUUGUGUGAAAUAUCCUUGUUUGGAGUAAUUCCAGAAAUGGAAUGGCCUGAUCUGGUAUAUCCCAAAUUGGGCAGGCUCAGGAACGGUUCAUGUUCUUGACUAUGCUGUAGUUUGAUCCUGUGUUAUUUUUCUUUUGUUGUUUGUGGUGUUUUUCUGCAUGUAACAUGGGCAGUAUGACAUAUGGAUUUGGGGUAGCAGAACCCAAUGAAUCCAAAGGUGACACUGGAUUCCAGUCGUGAGCAGUUAUGCAGAAGUGUCACUUUGUGUUGAGGUGGCACUUGUUGACCUCGUAGGUUGGUGUAAGUGCAUAGUUAGGGAUUGAGCAUACAUGCAUCAUUUUAGUUAGUGCUUCCUGUUGUGCAUGUCUCUUGAAUGUAGCUCCGUUCUUUGUUCCACAUGUUAACCGACUAGGAUGACAUGUAGAAUCACCGCUUCACCUCUUGCCAUGUUUAACCACAUUUAAUACUGCCGUGUAUCUAAUCGGGAUAGAACUAAAUAACUCAUAUGUGGAGUUUCGUCAAUAUGCAACUCGUUGCAUAUUGAACUUCACUUAAUGUGUAGUGUUUGUUUGUGUGAUUUGUCAUGUCGUGACUUGCAUGUAUUCAGCUGCUCAUGCAUCAUAUGUGUUGUGCAUCGUGUGGUGAAUUCCGUGUGUUGAUUUGUGUUUCCGGUUUGCUUCGUUCCGAUAGAGUUCCGCAAGCGUGUCGGAAUGUGAGGACCCGUUCGACUACGUCAGUUCGUCUGCUUCACGGAGGCAUUCUUCUUCCAAGCGGGAUCUCAGGCAAGAUGAUCAUUUCCUCAGAUACCAUUACUAUCAUUGCCAUGCUAGUUAUUUCGAUGCUAUCGUUUAUGUCUUGUUGCCUACCACAUGUUAAAUCUCAGCCUCUCAACAAUGCCAUGAAACCUUCAACCUGUUCAACCUAGCAAACCACUUAUUGGCUAUGUUAGUGCUUGCUUAACCCUGUUGAUAGCGUUGCUAGUUGCAGGUGCAGUUGCUUCCAUGUGAAACAUGGGUUCCUUGUCAUAUCACCAUAUUAAAUGCUAUUUAAUUUAAUGCACCUAUAUACUUGGUAAAAGGUGGAAGGCUCGGCCUUUCUAGCCUGGUGUUUUGUUCCACCUUUGCCCCCUUUAGUUAUCGGCUGCCGGUGUUAUGUUCCAUAAAUGAGCGCUCCUAACACGAUCGGGGUUGUUAUGGGGACCCCCUUGAUAAUUCGUUUUAGAUUAAAGCUGGUCUGGCAAGGCCCAACAUUGGUACUACAUUUUCCUAAUAACCUAAUAAUAAUGCAUAGGGACCUGCCGGCACCCGCGGACUAUUUUAAUCAACCCCCGGGCCAGUGCUCCUCAUGAGUGUUGGUCCCACCUGAGCGAUGUCCGGCGCCCCUCUGGUCACCCGGAGGUUUAGCGAUCCCAACGUCUAGCUCAUCCGCCGUGUCCUGAGAAUGAGGUACGCGACUCCUAUCGGGAUCGUCGACACGUCGGGCGGCCUUGCUGGAUUAGUUUUACCUUUGACGAGAUAUCUUGUGCAUCGGGAUUCCGGUGAUGCUUUGGGUAAUCUCAGAGUUGAGGUUUUCCAUUAGGGAAUCCGACGAGAUCGCGAGCUUCAUGAUUGAGGAUUUCUAUGCGGCUUGUGGUAAUUUGUGAUGGACUAGUUGGAGCACCCCCGCAGGGUUAAAUCUUUCAGAAAGCCGUGCCCGCGGUUAUGUGGCAACGUGGAAGCUUUGUUUAACACUGGUUCUAGAUAACUUGAAGUUAACUUAAUUAAAACAUGCCAACUGUGUGCGUAACCGUGACUGUCUCUUUCGUGAGUUCCUUCUCCGAUCGAGGACACGGUGGGGUUAUGUCUGACGUAGGUAGGUGUUCAGGAUCAUUCUUUUGAUCAUCUGUAGUGACGUCCGUUAUGCGUAGAUCUCCCCCCUCUUAUUUCUUGUACUCGUAAGUUAGCCACCAAAUAUAUGCUUUGUCGCUGCUGCAACCUCACCAUUUAACCAUGCCUCACCCAUUAAGCUUUGCUAGUCUUGAUACCUUUGGAAAUGAGAUUGCUGAGUCCCCUGUGGCUCACAGUUUACUACAACACCAGUUGCAGGUACAG
rnacentral:lncRNA from 1 species